GACGAACGCUGGCGGCGUGCUUAACACAUGCAAGUCGAACGGAAAGGCCCUGCUUUUGUGGGGUGCUCGAGUGGCGAACGGGUGAGUAACACGUGAGUAACCUGCCCUUGACUUUGGGAUAACUGCAGGAAACUGGGGCUAAUACCGGAUAGGAGCUCCUGCUGCAUGGUGGGGGUUGGAAAGUUUCGGCGGUUGGGGAUGGACUCGCGGCUUAUCAGCUUGUUGGUGGGGUAGUGGCUUACCAAGGCUUUGACGGGUAGCCGGCCUGGGAGGGUGACCGGCCACAAUGGGACUGAGAUACGGACCAGACUCCUACGGGAGGCAGCAGUGGGGAAUAUUGCACAAUGGGCGGAAGCCUGAUGCAGAAACGCCGCGUGCGGGAUGACGGCCUUCGGGUUGUAAACCGCUUUCGCCUGUGACGAAGCGUGAGUGACGGUAAUGGGUAAAGAAGCACCGGCUAACUACGUG
rnacentral:rRNA from 1 species